rnacentral:rRNA from 1 species
UGGGGAAUAUUGCACAAUGGGCGAAAGCCUGAUGCAGCGACGCCGCGUGAGGGAUGACGGCCUUCGGGUUGUAAACCUCUUUCCGUAGGGACGAAGCGCAAGUGACGGUACCUGCAGAAGAAGCACCGGCUAACUACGUGCCAGCAGCCGCGGUAAUACGUAGGGUGCGAGCGUUGUCCGGAAUUACUGGGCGUAAAGAGCUCGUAGGCGGUUUGUCACGAAGUCUGUGAAAUCCUAGGGCUUAACCCUGGACGUGCAGGCGAUACGGGCUGACUUGAGUACUACAGGGGAGACUGGAAUUUCUGGUGUAGCGGUGGAAUGCACAGAUAUCAGGAAGAACACCGAUGGCGAAGGCAGGUCUCUGGGUAGUAACUGACGCUGAGGAGCGAAAGCAUGGGUAGCGAACAGG